GCUCAUCCACCAGAAUGGAUGCUCUGGUUGCUCUUUGAACCAGCUUGGCCUUGCCUGGCAUGUACAGGCCCCAGCCAUAGGAGUUUUAGCCAAUUCAGAGGCCUUGCUCCCCACAAUUUGGAACAUUCCUUUGGAUUUGACCAAGUCAGGAAGAGAUGGGAGAAAAGUGAAACAACAACAAUAAAACCCCAAGCAUAAACAAACAAAAAGAGUUAAGCAAAACAACAACUGCACAAUUCAUA
rnacentral:lncRNA from 1 species